UAAUAAUACAACUUAUGACAUUAAGCAAUCAAAAAUAUAAUGUGGUUCACUUAUUGAACACAAUUCCUUUUGACAUAGAUUUCUCCUGGGAGAAUUAACAAAUUGAUCGAUCACCGGCGCGUCGUUCACUUAUUUUACAUUUUUACCCUCCUUAUCCCUCUUUCUCUGUCUCUCUCGGUCUCUCCUGUCACCCUUCUGAGUUCUCACUUCUCAGUUCUCACACAACCACGCAACCAGCCUAACUGGCCAACCCCUGCCACUCCUGCGAACCACCGGCCACCGCAAGCCACCGCCCAUCCACCCACCGCCAUCACCCAACCACAACACACCUAUCAAAUCUAGAGUUAAACACCUUCUCCAAUCUCCAAUCAAACAACAAUGGAGGUCGAAGGUUCUGAUUAGCCAGAAUUCGACCAUCCCAAUAAGCAAAUCUCCAUUUCUGCGCUUGAUUUCUUCUUCGCAUUAUGCAAUCUAAGAAAAAUCUGGUAUUUCAACUUCAGCUGUUUGGGAGAUGUCUUACGGCGCUGAUCAUUGUAGACCACCAGAGCAGAAGCGGGUGAGUGUUGAAGUCUCAUCAUCACCCAAGUGUCUGAGUUAUCCCUGAUGCUCUGGAACUACAUUUAGGCUAUUUCGAUUGAACUCUUGAUAGCUACAUCAAUUUAAUCUGGUACAGAUGUAAUACAGUUGGUAAGUGAUGAUGAGCUCUCUCAGCGUAUGAAUGAGGAAAAGUUGAAGUCGGUGACACUGUAAGUUUGGGAUUGUCUAGCAGCUCCAUUGGCAAGUGAUGAUGAUAUUGAAGGGAACAAAAAUAUUAGGUGACAAAUGAUGGAAAACUGGAAGUAUCUGGUAAGCUAUUUUACGGGUUAAUCACUUAAUCUGCUGAAAUUGCAAAAGUUUAUCUUUGGUUGUACUGUGGACAUAGUGUAAAACAAUCAUGACUCUUGAACAGGUAAAUAAGUACCGCAAAUUUAACAGCAUGCUUAAACAUUCACUUCAGUUUACAUGGAUUCUUUGUCAGCUUCCUCGGUAGCUCCUAUGUUGACAAUAAAUAAUCUUUGGUAGAAAUCAUCCAUGUUGCUUGAGCUCUUGGAGGCCGCCUCUUCUGUGAGAGAGCUAACCCUUUUCAUCUAAUGUUGCCACUUGCCAUGUUAUUUCGGAGUAAUAGUAUUGCUUUGCUUUGUGAUGGAAUUGUCAAUGAGGUAUGAACCCAUCAGUAGUAAUCAUGUUCUAUCACAAUUUUUUUUAAAGAAGAAUAUGGGACUUCACAUAUUCACAGCUUAUUUUUGUUUCAGUUUUACUUGAAGCUACAUGUUUGUUUCAAGUCUUCAUACUCCAUAAUAGUACUGAUUUGUGCUUGAUAUACGUUGACUCAGUUUGUCUCACAGUAACUAUCUGAGAUGAUGCCGGACUAUGUUACUCAGAAUCUGCCGGAAGUGUUCAAAAGCCAGGUCUCACAUUUUUAUGCUUUGUUGUGAAUUCCCAGCACCUAUAUGGUUUUCAUAGGUCAUCUAAUCAUCUAUGGUUUUCUUUUUUAAAUACUAGGUCUAGAGGUCUAGAUUUAUUUGAACAUGUCUGAAUUUAUUGGAACUGAUUAAACAUUAUUAGACAUGACUGAAUCUUAGCACCUUAUCAGAAUUUAGGAGAACUUAUUGAAGACCCUUUUUUUUGAAUUGAAGAAAAAAACCCCUUAACCGAAGGGAUCACUAAAGAAGUACGAGAACACAGUGUUUCGAGAAAGAACAAAAAUGAUUUCUUAAUACUCCCUCCGUAUUUUAAUAAGUGUUGUACUUUGACCAACACAAAGUUUUAGGAGGGUGUGUUGAUUUUAUUAAAAUAAGAUACAAGUGAAGUUAAUGAGGUGAUAAACAGUUAUAAGAAAAAAAAAUAAUAGGGUAUGAAAUUAUUCAAAAAAACAUAAAAGGUAAGGAAUAAAUAAGAAAAUAAGCGAAACCAGGGUGUAGGAGAAAAACAUACAAAAAUAUUAAAAUACAGACAAAGUGCACCCCAUAUUAAAACUUUGUGGGUACGUCCGACCCCCCUUACCCCGCUUCUUGCGGGAGCCUCUUUGAGGCAAUGGGGUAAUGAUAAUGAUAAUGAAUGACAGACAAAGUGCAACACAUAUUAAAAUACGGAGGGAGGGAUUAUAAUGAUAUAAUCCAUGAUAGACAUUAACAAAGCAGUAGAUCGAAAAUGUAGGAAAAUGUGUAUAGAUAGAAUUCUAAUGCAUGAUAUUAAUAGAAUGACACAGGAGAUUAGGAGAGGACAUAUUCCAUCUCUCUUAAAGCUCCUGAUUAAUAUAUAUAUAAAUAUGAAUUUCCAACAAGCUUUAACUCUUUAAGUACAUGUUGAUCCAUUCCUAAUGCAUGAAUACUUAACUUAAGACUUGAUCAUCAGUAAGUAUUUGUUGAAUUGUGAAAAUGGAGAAAUCAAAUGGAGCAAAAAGAAGAGUAAAGAGGAGGAAGAUCCCAAAGGGAUUGAAUAGGAUCAUUUAGAAAAUCGAAAAAGUCGUAACUAGCCGUGCUGGUUUGUGAAAUAUCCUUGUCCAUUUGCAUCUUCUGAAUAUCUAACAAUUCAGUUCCCAUUGGUGGUGGAACAGGAAGUAGUACAUUCUUGGCCAUUGUUUCUUGGCUUUGGUUUUGGCUGCUGUUUAGGCUUAGAGGUAAGUUAGGAUUCAUGUCAGGCAUACCACAUUGGAAUAAACAAGAAUAAUCGACCAACUCGUAGUUACCAACAAAACCACUCAUCACUUGAGGCUGAGGCUGAGGCUGAGGCCUAUAUAUAUCACCAUUAUUAUGGGUAUGGUUUAUGCUACUAGCUAAGUUUAAAGGGGUAGAAAAGGUAUUGGUUGCAGCAAUAGUGUUAGUGUUAGUAGGAGGAUUGUUUGAUUUUUGGCAGUCAAACUUUUUGUUAUUUAGUAGGUUUUUAAUCCUAGAGGCGACCGGGGAGUUGGGAGAUACAUGAGUUACAACAAAGUUGGUUCGUGUGUUUGAACCUCGAAGCAAGCAAGCGGCUUCAUCAUAAGCACGAGCAGCUGCCUCUGCAGUCUCAAAGGGAUCACACUUUUCUGCUCAACCUUUUUUUGUUGGAAUUGGAUUUCCAUUCAAAAAAUAUUUGUGCAAACUGUAAAUGUUACAAAUUAUGACUGUAAUAUCACAAUUAUAAAUCUAGGGUUUCUCUCUCUUUUUGUAAUGGAAACAUAACAAAGGAAGAGAAAGUAGGGAUGGAAUUUAAAGGAGAGAGAAAUGGAGGGAAUGGAAUUAGUUGAGUAAGGAUAUGGUCAGUUUCAUGAAUGUUAGAAUUAGUGGGAGAGUUAGUUGUCAACAUGUCUUUUCUUUUGGUACAUAUUUUGCUCUACGUGAGGGUAUUGUUUUUUUUUUAAAAAUAUGGUAAGCUCACUAUCUAAGUUGAAAUCGUUAUCUUUUUGGGUUUUAGACUAAUUGUUUUUUCUUACUAAUGAUGUGUUACUGCUAAACAUGUCUUUCUCCUAAUCUAAAUGAAAUGACUAAAUUGCCCUCUAACUACCAUUGACAAGGUUUAAAUAUUGUGGUGAUAUGUCAUGCCUCUCUAGAUUAAUUGUAUUGUUAUCUUAGGGGACCAUGUAUAUUUAUGCUGAAUUUCUCCUUUUACUAUAGAUAUAUUGUCAUUUUUUCAUUGUAAAAUACCCAUUAACCCAUUUAUCUAAAGAAAAAAAACAAUUGACCCAACAAGCUAAUUCAUAAACCAUAAUCCGAAAUUCCAAAUCAUCUCAAAACUUUAGAACUUAUAACACUUGCAAGCUUUUUUUCUUUUCUUUUUUUCAAUGAAAUAUGUCAGAAGUAUUGUACAACAAAUAUAAAUGACACAAAAAUAUAUAAGUACGGUUCAACUAAAAUAAGUCAAAUUCAGUUCAUUAGAAACAAAUGAAGAGAAUAUAUUCUAAGAACCAAUUUGGGCCCUCACAUCAUCAAAAUCGGAUGCCAAAUGAUUCCCCUGUAAUUAAUGAUAUUUUCGUAAAUUAUAAAACUUUUCAAACUGGUUUUCAAUGUCUUUACUUUUAACGAAAGUUAAUAAUUACUUUUGAUUAAUUUCGUUUACUUUUACUAGUUCUUUUUUAAUUGUAGUAUGAUAUAUAGCAUCUUGUUCUGGCCCAGAGUGAUUCAGAAAUUAAAUACUUCCAUAUUGAGAUUUGAUUACCAGCUUUUGACGGAUAUACACUUGAACUAGUUAGUACCCCGGGCGAUGUCCCGGAUAGUAAAAAAUGGAUUAAUUAGAUUCUUAUAUAACUCGUUUUGAGUCUAAUUUAAUUUGUUACAUUACAAUAUAUCUUGCUUUGAGUAUGCUUUAAUAAAUUUUAACAUGUAAGGAUUACUAACUCGUAAAAGUAAUGACUAAUUAGUGAUGUGAUCGAGACUAUCAAUAAAUGAUGCAGAUCAUUUUUCUCAUUAUAUUGACUUAAUGUGAUUGUGCACGUACAAGAAACAACAAAAUGAAUUGUGGCGUAGUGGUUAAAAUAUGUAACUAACAAAUGAGAGGUCAUAGGUUCGAAACCUAUCACUAACAUUUUUUCAUGAUCAAGAAAAUUAUAUGAGAUGCAUGAGAAGAGGUGAGGUUAUUUUAAUUAAUCCACCUUUGAUGUCCCUAUUGAUUUACUAAAAUACCCUCUACACUCAUAGAAUAGAGAAUAUAAUGACAACCUACCCAACAGAAAAAGCCAAAGAAUCAUUUUAAUCAAUCUAGUCUCUUAAAUAAGUUCUUACUAUUUUAAUCAAUCUGUUUAUAUGCGUUCGACCCUAUUUAACUUAUUGUUUCUUAUAUUUGCACGUAUCGCAUUUAUAUUAUAUUUUUUACAUGUUAUUUCAGGUUUAAAAGUAAUAACACAAAUCUAUUUUUUAUAUUCGCACGAAUCACGUGCAUAUAAGACUAGUCUUUGGUGGAAAUCAUCCAUGUUGUCUGGACUCUUGGAGGCCGCCUCUUCUGUGAGAGAGCUAACUCUUUUUCAUCUAGGCUCCGUUUGGUAGGGCGUAAAACGUUUUCAUAGAAAACGAUUUCCCUCUUUUCAAUAAUUUUACGUUGUUUGGUUGGGUAAGGGAUGUAAAACAAUUUUCCAUGACUUCUUCAAAGGUGGAAAACCCUUUUCCAUUUGAAAUGGAGGGAAACCACUUUUCCUUCUUUCCUCCUUACCUCCCUCUCCUUUCUUCACCUCAAUCUUCACCAUCUUCUCCCAUUUUCCUUUAAGUUACCAAACAAAGGAAAACUAGUUUGAAAUUGUGUUUUCCCUUAAAAAAUGUUUUCCACGGAAAAUCAUUUUACAAUGAAAAUAUUUUACGCCAUACCAAACGGAGCCCUAAUGUUGCCAUGUAAUUUUGAAGUAAUAGUAUAUUAGUAUUGCCUGGCUUUUGUGAUAGGAUAUUUGUUUUAUUUUUUAUUUUUUAUAAUUUUUAAAUUUGAUUUUGUCAUAUCACUCAUAUGGUGGUAAUGAAGAAUUGAAGAAUGACUACUAAUGCAGUAUAUCAAAGUGUAAAUGAAGAAAAUUCAUUCUUAUUGGGUUUUACUUUCUUCUA